GGAUUAACGCUGGCGGCAUGCCUAAUACAUGCAAGUCGAACGGAAAAUAUAUAGAUGCUUGCAUUUAGAUAUUUUUAGUGGCGAACGGGUGAGUAAUAUAUAGAUAACCUACCUUUAAGUUGGGGAUAACAGAGAGAAACUUUUGCUAAUACCGAAUAAAAUAAUUAGACGCAUGUUUAAUUAUUAAAAGGGGCUCCAAAGCCCCGCUCGAAGAGGGGUCUAUAUCGCAUUAGCUAGUUGGUAAGAUAACAGCCUACCAAGGCGAUGAUGCGUAGCUGUACUGAGAGGUAGAACAGCCACAUUGGGACUGAGAUACGGCCCAAACUCCUACGGGAGGCAGCAGUAGGGAAUUUUCGGCAAUGGGGGGAACCCUGACCGAGCAAUGCCGCGUGAUUGAAGAAGAUCUUCGGAUCGUAAAGAUCUGUUAUUAAGGAAGAAUAUUCAGAAGAGGAAAUGCUUUUGAGUUGACGGUGCCUAAUGAGGAAGCCCCGGCUAACUAUGUGCCAGCAGCCGCGGUAAUACAUAAAAAGCGAACGUUAUCCGGAAUUAUUGGGCGUAAAGGGUACGUAGGCGGGCCUGCAAGUCUGAUUUGAAAGCACACGGCUUAACCGUAUGAGGUAAUUAGAAACUACGGGUCUAGAGAGUGGUAGAGGUAAAUGGAAUUCCAAGUGGAGCAGUGAAAUGCGUAGAGAUUUGGAGGAACACCAGUGGCGAAGGCGGUUUACUGGGCCACAUCUGACGCUGAUGUACGAAAGCGUGGGGAGCAAACAGGAUUAGAUACCCUGGUAGUCCACGCCGUAAACGAUGAGUGCUAAGUAUCGGUAGAAUCGGUGCUCAAGCUAACGCAGUAAGCACUCCGCCUGGGGAGUACGGUCGCAAGACUGAAACUCAAAGGAAUUGACGGGGACUCGCACAAGCGGUGGAGCAUGCGGUUUAAUUCGAUGCAACGCGAAGAACCUUACCAGGUCUUGACAGUGUAAAGAAUACUUAAGAGAUUAAGGGCUAAGAAUUAAGCUUGCUUAUUUCACUUUAUAAACAGGUGGUGCAUGGUUGUCGUCAGCUCGUGUCGUGAGAUGUUGGGUUAAGUCCCGCAACGAGCGCAACCCUUAUUGCUAGUUGCCAUCAUUAAGUUGGGCACUCUAGCAAGACUGCCGGUGACAAAUCGGAUGAAGGUGAAAAUGACGUCAAAUCAUCAUGCCCCUUAUGACCUGGGCUACACGCGUGCUACAAUGGCUAAUACAAAGAGUUGCAAAACCGUGAGGUAGAGCUAAUCUCAUAAAGUUAGUCUCAGUUCGGAUUGUAGUCUGCAACUCGACUACAUGAAGUUGGAAUCGCUAGUAAUCG
rnacentral:rRNA from 1 species